CAAGAUCUGAGUGAACCAAGUUGAAUUCAUAGAUUUUGCUCGAGUUUCGUGUUAGAUGUAGCCCAGGAAAAGCCCAUCACUUCAUUGGUCAACCGCAAAGGAAACCAGAACCAUUUAUGAGCUCCAAACCAUUCUGGGGACUCAUCAGGAAAACAGUCUAACUAUGGAGCAACAACCAUAUCGGCCCAAAAGUGAUUCAGAAUCAGACGAAAUCAAACACGAAACUCGAAACUCGGAUUGAAGUCUGUGUUCUUCCCAUUGUUUGAAGGAGAUGGAUCAACCUCCUGGGCCUCGACCGUGUCUAUGGUUCUUUUGACAUCAAAAUAAUGAUGACUCGACGAUUUGGCCUCAAGGAACGGGGCCACUUUCUUGGGCGAUCGCUCCCGCACUGUCAUCAUUACUAUUCCAUCUGAAAGAAACAAAUGAGCGCUCAUUUA